AACGAACGCUGGCGGCAUGCCUAACACAUGCAAGUCGAACGAGACCUUCGGGUCUAGUGGCGCACGGGUGCGUAACGCGUGGGAACCUGCCCUUAGGUUCGGAAUAACUCCCCGAAAGGGGUGCUAAUACCGGAUAAUGUCUUCGGACCAAAGAUUUAUCGCCUUUGGAUGGGCCCGCGUUGGAUUAGCUAGUUGGUAGGGUAAAAGCCUACCAAGGCGACGAUCCAUAGCUGGUCUGAGAGGAUGAUCAGCCACACUGGGACUGAGACACGGCCCAGACGGCCACGGGAGGAAGCAGUUGGGAGUAUUGGAAAAUGGGCGAAAGCCUGAUCCAGCAAUGCCGCGUGAGUGAGGAAGGCAUUAGGGUUGUAAAGCUCUGUUACCCGGGAUGAUAAUGACAGUAACGGGAGAAGAAGCUCCGGCUAACUCCGUG
rnacentral:rRNA from 1 species